rnacentral:rRNA from 1 species
CGGCCUUAGUGGCGCACGGGUGCGUAACGCGUGGGAAUCUGCCCCUUGGUUCGGAAUAACAGUUGGAAACGACUGCUAAUACCGGAUGACGACGUGAGUCCAAAGAUUUAUCGCCGAGGGAUGAGCCCGCGUAGGAUUAGGUAGUUGGUGUGGUAAAGGCGCACCAAGCCGACGAUCCUUAGCUGGUCUGAGAGGAUGAUCAGCCACACUGGGACUGAGACACGGCCCAGACUCCUACGGGAGGCAGCAGUGGGGAAUAUUGGACAAUGGGCGAAAGCCUGAUCCAGCAAUGCCGCGUGAGUGAUGAAGGCCUUAGGGUUGUAAAGCUUUUUUACCCGGGAUGAUAAUGACAGUACCGGGAGAAUAAGCUCCGGCUAACUCCGUGCCAGCAGCCGCGGUAAUACGGAGGGAGCUAGCGUUAUUCGGAAUUACUGGGCGUAAAGCGCACGUAGGCGGCUUUGUAAGUAAGAGGUGAAAGCCCAGAGCUCAACUCUGGAAUUGCCUUUUAGACUGCAUCGCUUGAAUCAUGGAGAGGUCAGUGGAAUUCCGAGUGUAGAGGUGAAAUUCGUAGAUAUUCGGAAGA